rnacentral:lncRNA from 12 species
AGAACACAAAGAGCAUACAAUGCAGAAGAGUCUUUAGGAAAUACAUCCGUAAAAGGGACUCUUCCUGUAGUUCUCCUUCCUGCUUUCACCUGGGCUGGAAGGAUGGGCAUGGCCUGUAUUUAUCAUAUGAAAGUGAUGUUAUUAAAUUUGUCCAUAAGUUCUGACUAUUAUUAUUAUUACUCAUUUUCUGACAGAAAACAUUUUCAUUUUGCCUUUCCCACAUUGUUUUCAGGUUGUGCCCUGGAUGGACAUCUGUGGUCUCAGACAGCGAUUCCCUAGGAGGAAGGGGAGCCUUUGCCUCACCUGCAGAGCUCAGGUGGAUGCGACAGAAUUGAUGUGGCCUAACAAAGGCGUGAACAGCUGUCUGUGUUCUGUAGUGCCUCAAAACCUUUCUCAGUCAGGUUUUGGAGGGUUUUCUCUUUGGGAUUUCUUGUGAUGCAGCACCCCAGGUGUCCCUUUGUGCAAAGUCCAGUGGUAAAGGAUUGAAUAACUGACAAGCGGAGUCUGGGAUGAAAAUUGUUCUGUUAAAAUUAAGCAAAGAAUGCAAUAAGAAAAAUGAUCAUCCUUUUAAUGUCUGAAAUAGUUUGGAAUAAAAUUGCUGGGAAAAGGCACUUUUGUAUUUGAAUUGGUGUCACCUGGAUAAAACCCCAUAGUGAGCAAUCAGAGCAGAAAUGUGAAAGCCGGGAUCCUUUGACUUCUGCAGGGGACUUAAUUUUCUUUUCUUUUCUUUUCCUCCUCUCUUUCAGGACAGGAAAAAUCAUUACACCGAUCCCAUCUUUGCCAAAAGCUGUGGUGUUUGAGCAGCCAAAGCCAAGAGGCUUCAGCACCGGGGGUCUUCGCUGGAGGGCUCCUGGUCCUGCCCGUGCUGUGGGGUAAGGCAGAGGGAUGCUGGGUUGCUCUUUUCCUUCCUGCUGGGAGUAGCUGCCUAGGGAAUCUGGGAUCUGAGUGAAAUGCCAGCUCUCCUGGUGUUCAGGGAUGCAAGGUCUGAGGGACUACGUUUACCUUUCCAGCAAGAGGAAAUGGGGUGCCAGAGCCGUGUCCCAUCAGGCUGCGUUUCCCUCUGAGGACAGAGAGUCUGGGCUGGGGCAAGAUUGCCACGAGCGCUUGGCGAGAACACCAACUCACAGUCCCCUGCAUGCAGUGAGAGCUCAGCACACAUGCGCAGAGCCAAGGCCAGCAUCUGAAAGAAGAAAAAAACAGAAGAAAAAGGUGACUUCUUUUACUUUAAAGUUUUUUCAGAUUCUUGAAACCCAAGCAACAUUUGCAGUUUUGGUUGGGUGAAUCACGGGCAGUGGACACGGGUCAGGCCAUUCAUUUAGCUGAAAACCCAGGGUAAUUUAGAGGGGCACGAGAAUUGUUUGC